GGGAGGCCUCCUAAAGAUGGGCUGCUGCCUCUUUAGUGCGUCUUGCUGCCGCCGAGCGGAAGUCUCUGAGGAGCAAAGGUUGAGAGGAAACCACACUCUUGCUCAGGGUGCCCGCAGUCAGGGAGUCGCCUGAGAGGCAGGUGUGAGAAGGCCCAGGGGAGGGAGGGUGUGAAGCUGUGUCUCCCAGUCCCUGUUCAGUGUCAAGGACAAAACUAGGUCACAGAGCUCCAGGGGAAGCAAAGCCCCAUGCUCCCCCAGGCUGGGCCUGGCUGGCAAAGUGGGUCCCAGGCACUCUGGUGCCCAGCCUCUACCUUCCGCUUCCUGAGCUCAUCCUCUGGUCUUCACACAGCUUUCAGGGUGCAGAUGGCUCUCAGAGCGUUUUUAAAAAGAAGGCAAGAAAGGCAGAGAGAAGAAGGAAAGGGGGAGAGGAAAAGGCCUGGACAACCUUCUCACUUCCCGCCACCACCCGGACGUCUGAGUGAAGAACCGGAAACUGAAGACAUGUGAAGGGGCCAGAUUCAAUCUCAGACCUGCCUGUGGGCGCAUCCCGGGUGGGCAGGAGAGGCGAUGGGUGAUGUGUCUGGGUGGCACUCUGCCCGCAGCCCAGUCCUGAGCUCGGCCCAUGUGGGCACCCAGCAAUCAUUGAAAGAGAAAGGAAUCAGUGGAUGGAGAAAUGCAGGCUUUGGUGAAGACAGCCUCAUGAACCACAGGUCAGGGGCUUCUUGGGAUGUCUGAAUCACAUAUGAAUGAGUCACUUAUGAUAUUUACCUAUUGGCUUACUUAUCUUAUUUAAGAAUGUCUACUUACAAGAUACAAGCAAAAAUCACACAAUCGGGAGCAAAAUUUGCAGACUACGACAUGAAUAAUUAGAGACUUUAAAAAAUGUGUUUCUAUCUAAAAGAUGUGCGUGCGUGCUCAGUUGCUUCAGUUGUGUCCGACUCUUUGUGAACCCAUGAACUGUAGCCCAUCAGG